GAAACACAAGCCCAUUGAAAAUGGAGUGACACAAACCGUAAGACAACACGUCUUAAACCAAAAUUAUAAGAUAUUAGUUUCAUGAGUUUUUCCUACUUAUAAACUCAUUUUACUCCUCCCCGCAUAUCCAAUGUGGGACUUCACACUUGAAUAAACCCAACAAUUUAACUUACCGAAAGGUCAAAUUUUAGUUGCAAAAGGGAUUAUAUACACAGAUUAUAUAUAUGCUUCAUUGUAUCUUGCCUUCACCUUAAACAAUGAUCCACAAAAUAAAUUAUAAAGAGAUAUUCAUGCACUCAUUUUAUUAUGUACAAGAUACCCUUUUUUUUAUUCAGAUGGAAUCAAUAGCAGAAUUUGAGUCUAGCCAAACUUUCUGUCUAAUGAAAUCAUGAUUUCUUGAUAAACAAGUAGGAGGGUACACCAAACCCCUAGUUGAACCAUGAGCUUGCCAGCAAUAAGAGCUUGUAUUUCCUCCCAUGCAUGAUUCAAGGAAAAUAUUCUUCAGGUAUAAACCUUCACAUGGUGAGGAAUCACUGCAAGCAAAUUUAAUUGCUUCUUCUGUGGCUGAAGUUCCUUUAAUAUCAAUGAAGGAUAUAUUCUCCACUCUCACAGCUGAAGUCUGCAUUUUUAUUUAGGAUGUUACAAAUCAGCUAUUUUGUAUUCUCUUACUACUAAAUAAAUAGUGAAUGUAUGAAAUGAAAAAGUAUAUAUAUUCAAUGGGAAUAUAAAAACAUUAGAAAUUGUAGAACUAAGAUAUGGACAUGGUCUGUUUGAUUUUGGAGGGAAAUGAAAGCCUUUAGAGCCAUGAAAUACAUUUGCGAGAUGACUGUGAAACAUUCCUUCCCCACCAAAACCAAACUCGCAAAUGGAAUUAGGGUUAGUUUGUGAGUUUGGUUUUGGAAGGGAAAGGGUUCAGAACCAUGAAAUACACUUAUCAGGUGACUCUUAAGUCUUCCUUUUCUAUUCCUUCCCAUCCAAAACUUAACUCGCAAACAGACUCAAGGUUUGUUUGCGAGUAAUAGAGGGAAAGAAAAACUUGGAAGCCAUAAAACACACUUAUGAGAUAAAUCUGAACUCUUCCAUUUCUCUUCUUUCUCAUUUUAAACUCAACUCGCAGACGGAUUCUAACUAAGCAAAAUAAACAAUUUAAACUAUAGGCAUCACUCAUCAUGCAGACAGGUUUACUACUUCUAGAGUAAACUAGAAGCUGAGACCAACCAGGAGAAAAGAUUUAAGAAUGAAUUGCAGAAUGAGACACACAACUACACAAACUUUCCCAAAAGAAUGAUUCUGCAUUGUUGUCACACAUAAAAUUGAAGUCUUAAACCUCUGAAAAUUCCAUACCUGGUUGUCACAUGGAUGCUUAGAAUCACAGUAGUAUUGGUCUAUUAUUAUUGGAUUUGACACAUUUUCCAUCACAAUAUUCUGGAAUGUGAUCUUGGAUGCAAAACCUUGCCCACCCUAACAAAAAUUUGAGGCAAGUCAAUGGAAUUGUGUAUUGCUGUGUGACAUUUAGAGAGAAACAAAGAUACAAUUUUGUCAAGAAAUUUACCUGCCAUGUUUUAACUUACCGAAAGGUCAAAUUUUAGUUGCAAAAGGGAUUAUAUACACAGAUUAUAUAUAUGCUUCAUUG
rnacentral:lncRNA from 1 species